UACGAAGGGGGCUAGCGUUGCUCGGAAUUACUGGGCGUAAAGGGCGCGUAGGCGGCACUGUUAGUCAGGCGUGAAAGUCCUGGGCUCAACCUGGGAACUGCGCUUGAUACGGCAGAGCUAGAGGAUGGAAGAGGCUCGCGGAAUUCCCAGUGUAGAGGUGAAAUUCGUAGAUAUUGGGAAGAACACCGGUGGCGAAGGCGGCGAGCUGGUCCAUUACUGACGCUGAGGAGCGAAAGCAUGGGGAGCGAACAGG
rnacentral:rRNA from 1 species